AAAAGGAAAACCCUAAUUCACUAAAUCAUCAUUCAUUAGUGAAGAUGGGAAAUUUAGUUUCAAAAGUUUCCAUAUUUGGGAUCUUCGCAUCUAAAACAGAGACUAGUUUGUUUCGAAAAAAUGGAAGCUUUGGAAAGCCAAAGCCUAAGACAAGACAACAAUGGCUCUGUUUUUCAGCCGAAUCUCCAAGCUUUCUACUGCUUGCAGGGUUAACAAUGCUCGCUUCUUUUAAGUCUGGUUACUAUACUGGAGCACAAGCCUUCCAGAUAACUCGAGUAUCAAUUUAAAGAACAAGACAUAGAGUCUACUUGUUGAAUCAAAUCUACAUAUACAUUUUUACAGGGUUUUUUUUGCAUUAAUUCUUUUGGAUCCGAGUUUUAUCCGGGUUUAACUCUAUCCGGAUCUUGGAUAAAGAUUUUUAGGAAUGUUGUCUUAAAACAAACGAAUAUUUAUCUUUUAAUUACUCUAACAAUUCGGUUUAAUGAUAUUACCUAAAAUAUUUGCCACAUUAAUCGGAUCCGGAUCCUUUUUAUAUUAAAUUGAUUACGAAUAUUUGCACAAUCUAAACUAAUUACUCUCCACAUACCUUAUCGCAUAUAUAGUUAGGAAAUAUUAACCAAAAGAUUUAGGAAAUAAGAAUAUAUGCAAUAAUCCACUAUCUUAGCCUAAUUAAUAUGACUAUAUCUCUUCACUUUCUUAUAAUUAGCCAUAUUUAAUUCGAAAAAUUUUCUCCCUCAAAUCAAUCCACUGUUACUCCCAAAAAUAUUAAUCUUAAGCAUAUUCUUUACAUAUUCCAAAAUAAAAAUAUUGCCUAAAUCAAGGGGUCUACUAUCUUUUACAAUAUUCCAUCGUAACUAUAUUGUUACCUUACAAAAAUUCUAUCAUUAAUCGUGAUUGAUCAUAUAAUCCAAAAAUUUGUUUAAGAAAUCUAAGAUUUUCUACUUGAUUUCCAGGAUAUUCUAAAACCGACUCAACCUUAACCCUACAUGAACAAUGCAUCUAUAAAUACCAAAAGUCAACGGGCUUCAAAUUGGUUUAAGAGAAGCUCAAGUUAUGCCAAGGGAAGACAGCCUUCCGUCGCUUAUUCUCAAGAUUUUGUACCCCAAUAUUUCUAGAGGUAAUUGUCUAUUGGGCAUAUUGAUGCUUUCAGUUUGUAAUUUAGCCGUAAACUGUUUAAAAAGUCCUUUAUGUUGUAUUUUCUUGCAGUCCUUCAACUUAACCUUUCUAGCUGAAUGGGGUGACCGUAGCAAGAUCGCUACAAUAGAUGUAAGACUCAUCUUUCAAAUCUAGCUUCUUAAAAAAAUUGACCAGUGAAUGACAUUUAUCUUUUUUGAAGUGUCGAUAUAGGUACGAUUGUCCAUCGGGGCAACUAUUGGACAAACGCGUUGUGUACUUCACCAGCGGUUGUUGGAGGAAGCAUGCUGGCUUUAAGGAUCUCACAACGGACGGUUGCAACUGUUGGAGGCUUGCUCUUCUUCGGCUUUUCAGUCUCCUCCUAUUUCUAUCCUCCAUUACAGUCAAUGCGCUUCUUUCGAAAAUGGGUGUUGGAGACAUUUUCUAAGUAAAGUUUCAAUUUUGUUUUUUUUUUUGUAUUAAAUUUGAUUUUUGUUUAAUAC